rnacentral:lncRNA from 1 species
GAGGAGCAAUCACCGGUGCGGACACAGAGCUCCCGCCUCCCACAGCCAUUUCCAGGGUAACGAAGUAGGAGACCCCCUCCUGCGACCCCCUCACGAUCGCCGGUGCAGUCAUGAGCCCCGCCUCCCCCUGGUGCACGGAGAGGGGCGGGGCCUGGAACGAGGCUGCUUCGUGACCCACUAUGUCUUCCCCCACAAGUUCUCUGGACACUCCCUUGCCUGGGAAUGGUUCUCCCCAGCCCAGUACCUCCUCCACUUCACCCACUAUUAAGGAGGAGGGACAGGAGACUGAUCCACCUCCAGGCUCUGAAGGGUCCAGCUCUGCCUACAUCGUGGCCCUGUCCUCUCACCCUCGCUUCGGGACUUCCCAUGGCCUGUUCCCAGGCUGCUGUUUCUCUUUGUCGCUAUCUCUCAUGGCAUCUGCUCACCCCAAGUCAUCUUAGAGCCAGAGGAUGAACCUGAGCGCAAGCGGAAGAAGGGUCCGGCCCCGAAGAUGCUGGGCCAUGAGCUGUGCCGCGUGUGCGGGGACAAGGCCUCGGGCUUCCACUACAAUGUGCUCAGUUGUGAAGGCUGCAAAGGCUUCUUCCGGCGUAGCGUGGUCCAUGGUGGGGCCGGGCGCUAUGCCUGUCGGGGCAGCGGAACCUGCCAGAUGGAUGCCUUCAUGCGGCGCAAGUGCCAGCUCUGCAGACUGCGCAAGUGCAAGGAGGCUGGCAUGCGGGAGCAGUGCGUGCUUUCUGAGGAGCAGAUUCGGAAGAAA